GCCCCCGUGGCCCAACUGGCAGAGGCAGCGAACUUAAAAUCCGCUACGGUUCGGGUUCGAAUCCCGACGGGGGCA
rnacentral:tRNA from 1 species